AGUUCCUUGCUUUGUGCGUGAGAGUCAACGAAAAAUCUAAACUGACAAAUUAAUAAAGGGAGCCUGACUCCGGAUGCGGCGCGCAUGUCCCUGCUGUGCAGAAUUGGGAAAGCGUAAAGUAUCCGGAAGGGCACCUGCCUGUAAUAAACAGGUUCACAGAUUUAUCGUUUUCACGGCACGGCGGGGACGUA
rnacentral:other from 2 species